rnacentral:rRNA from 1 species
CCUACGGGACGCAGCAGUGGGGGAUAUUGCACAAUGGGGGAAACCCUGAUGCAGCGACGCCGCGUGAGCGAUGACGUAUUUCGGAAUGUAAAGCUCUAUCAGCAGGGAAGAAAAUGACGGUACCUGACUAAGAAGCCCCGGCUAACUACGUGCCAGCAGCCGCGGUAAUACGUAGGGGGCAAGCGUUAUCCGGAUUUACUGGGUGUAAAGGGAGCGUAGACGGCAGUGCAAGUCUGAUGUGAAAGGCAAGGGCUCAACCCUUGGCCUGCUUUGGAACUUGUGCUGUUGGAGUGUCGGAGAG